UACGUAGGGAGCAAGCGUUGUCCGGAAUCAUUGGGCGUAAAGCGCGUGUAGGCGGCCCGAUAAGUCCGCUGUGAAAGUCCAGGGCUCAACCCUGGGAUGCCGGUGGAUACUGUCGGGCUCGAGUCCGGAAGAGGAGUGUGGAAUUCCGUGGUGUAGCGGUGAAAUGCGCAGAUAUCAGGAGGAACACCGGUGGCGAAGGCGGAUCUCUGGGCCAUUACUGACGCUGAGGAGCGAAAGCGUGGGGAGCAAACAGG
rnacentral:rRNA from 1 species